rnacentral:rRNA from 1 species
GGGUCAGUAGGUUGGUCGUGCCACCGGUACGUACUGGUCUCACUGAUUCCUCCUUCCUGAAGAACCGUAAUGCCAUUAAUUUGGUGUUGCGGGGAAACAGGACUGUUACUUUGAAAAAAUUGGAGUGUUUAAAGCAAGCUAACGCUUGAAUACAUUAGCAUGGAAUAAUGAAAUAGGACGAUCGAUCCUAUUUUGUUGGUUUCUAGGAUUGACGUA